rnacentral:misc_RNA from 1 species
CCUGCUUUAGAAAAAAUUGAUCAAGAUAACAAUGUUAUUCAAGUUGUUAUACUUGUUCCAACGAGAGAGUUGGCUCUUCAGACAUCACAAGUUUGUAAGGAGCUUGGGAAGCAUUUGAAAAUUCAAGUAAUGGUCACCACUGGUGGUACAAGUCUAAAAGAUGAUAUCAUGCGUUUAUACCAACCAGUACAUUUACUUGUGGGUACUCCUGGAAGAAUACUAGAUCUUGCAAAGAAGGGUGUUUGCAUUUUGAAAGAUUGUUCAAUGCUUGUUAUGGAUGAGGCUGAUAAACUUUUGUCUCCAGAAUUUCAACCCUCUAUAGAGCAGCUGAUUCGCUUUCUUCCUCCAGCUCGUCAGAUUUUGAUGUUCUCAGCUACAUUUCCUGUUACUGUUAAGGAUUUCAAGGAUAGAUAUUUAAAAAAGCCUUAUA